rnacentral:rRNA from 1 species
GGGAAUAUUGCACAAUGGGGGAAACCCUGAUGCAGCGACGCCGCGUGAGUGAAGAAGUAUUUCGGUAUGUAAAGCUCUAUCAGCAGGGAAGAAAAUGACGGUACCUGACUAAGAAGCCCCGGCUAACUAC